UGUAGACGCGUAAUUUUGUCCCUCCAAAAAAUUAUUUUUAAUUAUUUUUUCCCCAUAUUACUAUGCACCUUAACCCAUGUGAUAAAUUCUACACAAUAAAAAAUAAAAAAACCCUUAACAAAUUAACCACUCAGCCAAUAAAAUUUCAACACUUCCUACCUUAUCCUAACCACCUACCCCUAUCCCUACCCCUCAUAUUUUAUUCUUUUUUUUCCUAACAAACUCACAAAAAGACAAAAAUUAUACAUACAACUCACACACACUCUAACGGAUUGAGGGAAUACACUCUACACAUACAGCAAUACAUACACAGAUUCUUCUAAAACAAUUCACUCACACUAUACAGAUUCACACAUUCAUAUCGUCACUCAUAAAUACACACAGUCACACACUAAUAUAUAUACCUACACACACCUAUGAGGGGGAUCGAGAAUCGAGAGAGAUAGAUAAUAGGAUUGGGGAGUGAAAAUAAAAUAGAGGGGAUGAUAAAAAACGGUUCAAAUAAGUGUGGAAUUAGGAAUCGGUGAGUUUCCACUUGAAAUCUGCUGGAACCGCCACCAAAAAUAUCAAAAGCUGCAAUUUGGCUACUGUUCUGGAGAAAUCCAUCGAAAAAGCGUACCAUCAGCUCGAUUUCAAUCUAAAAAUUGCGCCAAAAGCUAUUCUCUUCGUUUUCAGUUUAAAUCUAAUCGAAAGAUGUUAACUCUGGCAUUGUUUUAGGCUAACUUUGAUAAGGCUUUGCCGAAAAUUAUCGUGGCUCUGGCUUUCUUUUUUGAUUAGGAGAAUCGAGAUUUCGGGCAUUCAAUGGGGUUUUCAGAACAGCUCUUUAUUCCCUUCAUAAAUCGAGCAAAAAUAUUUGAAAGGAAUGACUAUAACAGCAACUAGUAUUGCCACAACAAGUCGUACUAAUGCUCUGCAAACUAUGGCACCAGCGGAGAAACCUAAAAAGUUUGCGGGUAUUUACUUCAAGAGAUGGUAGAAGAAAAUGUUCUUAUACCUCACAACAGUCUAUCUUCAAAGGUUUACAGUUGAGGAAGUUCCGGAGGUGCCCGAGGAUACCUCUGUAAAAGAACGCUUCAUUAUUGUGCAGGCUUGGAAGGACUCAGAUUUUCUUUGUAGGAAUUAUAUCUUGAGUGGUCUCCAAAACGACCUCUACAUUGUGUAUAACGGAACCAAGACUGCAAAAAAGUUAUGGGGAGUACUGGAACGAAAGUACAAGAUGGAGGAUGCCGGAACUAAAAAGUUUUUGUUGGAAGAUUCCUGGAGUACAAAAUGAUAGACAACAAGUCUGUUGUUUCACAAGUGCAGGAACUGCAAAUGAUCAUCCAUGAUCUCCUAGUG